AUACCAUGAUGUGGACACGUAACCAGCAGACCCUUGAAACCCUCCCAUAUUUCUUGUAAUGUCUCUGUUGGUUUCUGUCUGAAGCUCAAUAUCUUAUCAAUUUGUUG
rfam:Nicotiana attenuata strain TT chromosome 3, whole genome shotgun sequence.